UUUUUCCUUUUGCCCAUCAGAAUGGAGGUCUCAUUUUUAAUUUUUUAGACAGAACCCGUAAUAAGGGGGAGCAAGCGGGAUCGAAUCGGCCCAGACCCACCACAUACCUGGUGAAGUUGGUCAGAGCGUGUACGACACCCGGAUACGGGGCCAUAGCUCAGGUGGGAGAGCGCCACCUUGCACGCAGGAGGUCAGCGGUUGGAUUCCCUCUCUCCAUCUCAUAGUGUUCUGUUGCAGCGAGUCGUUAU
rnacentral:misc_RNA from 1 species